rnacentral:tRNA from 1 species
GAUAAGAUGGCUGAAUUAUUAGGUUGUAAAUUGUAAAUUUAUAUAUGGUGUUAAUACCUCUUAUCA